rnacentral:rRNA from 1 species
UNAAUGGCGAAAGGGUGAGUAACACGUGGGCAAUCUGCCCUUCACUCUGGGACAAGCCCUGGAAACGGGGUCUAAUACCGGAUACGACCUCCGACCGCAUGGUCUGGUGGUGGAAAGCUCCGGCGGUGAAGGAUGAGCCCGCGGCCUAUCAGCUUGUUGGUGGGGUGAUGGCCUACCAAGGCGACGACGGGUAGCCGGCCUGAGAGGGCGACCGGCCACACUGGGACUGAGACACGGCCCAGACUCCUACGGGAGGCAGCAGUGGGGAAUAUUGCACAAUGGGCGAAAGCCUGAUGCAGCGACGCCGCGUGAGGGAUGACGGCCUUCGGGUUGUAAACCUCUUUCAGCAGGGAAGAAGCGAGAGUGACGGUACCUGCAGAAGAAGCGCCGGCUAACUACGUGCCAGCAGCCGCGGUAAUACGUAGGGCGCAAGCGUUGUCCGGAAUUAUUGGGCGUAAAGAGCUCGUAGGCGGCUUGUCACGUCGGAUGUGAAAGCCCGGGGCUUAACCCCGGGUCUGCAUUCGAUACGGGCAGGCUAGAGUUCGGUAGGGGAGAUCGGAAUUCCUGGUGUAGCGGUGAAAUGCGCAGAUAUCAGGAGGAANNCNGGUGGCGAANGCGGAUCUCUGGGCCGAUACUGACNCUGAGNAGCGAAAGCGUGGGGAGNNAANANNNAUAGAUACCCUGGU